AGAGUUUGAUCCUGGCUCAGGAUGAACGCUGGCGGUCUGCUUAACACAUGCAAGUCGAACGGGCUCUUUCGGGAGCUAGUGGCGGACGGGUGAGUAACGCGUGAGAAUCUGCCAAAAGGACUGGGACAACCACUGGAAACGGUGGCUAAUACCGGAUGAGCCGCAACGUAAAAGAGGAAACUCGCCUUUUGAGGAGCUCGCGUCUGAUUAGCUAGUUGGUGAGGUAAGAGCUCACCAAGGCAUCGAUCAGUAGCUGGUCUGAGAGGAUGAUCAGCCACACUGGGACUGAGACACGGCCCAGACUCCUACGGGAGGCAGCAGUGGGGAAUUUUCCGCAAUGGGCGAAAGCCUGACGGAGCAAGACCGCGUGAGGGAGGAAGGCUCUUGGGUUGUAAACCUCUUUUGUCAGGGAAGAACACAAUGACGGUACCUGAAGAAUCAGCAUCGGCUAACUCCGUGCCAGCAGCCGCGGUAAUACGGGGGAUGCAAGCGUUAUCCGGAAUUAUUGGGCGUAAAGCGUCCGCAGGUGGCUAAUCAAGUCUGCUGUCAAAGAUUGGGGCUUAACCCCAAAAAGGCAGUGGAAACUGAGAAGCUAGAGUGCAGUAGGGGUAGAGGGAAUUCCCGGUGUAGCGGUGAAAUGCGUAGAGAUCGGGAAGAACAUCGGUGGUGAAAGCGCUCUACUGGACUGCAACUGACACUCAGGGACGAAAGCUAGGGGAGCGAAUGGGAUUAGAUACCCCCGUAGUCC
rnacentral:rRNA from 1 species